rnacentral:lncRNA from 1 species
GUGUGCAUUUGGUACAGCGUUCCUCCUUCCAUCCAUUUCUGCGCAAGAACCGCUGAAGUGGGUGCCCCAGCUUCAGGAUAGUCAGGAACAUACAUAGAAGCAUAUACAAGAUAAGAGAAAACGUCUUUCAAGAACAUCACACUCUCAAGGAGAAGGAACUUCAAACGGGACCAAAAGCCUCCCAUGGCUAUGGAGGGAAAUUCUGCGUGGAACAGUACAGCAUGGACAAAGAACAAGCCAAAGCCAAAAAGAAAACAUCCACUGAGUCCCCCACUCCUCAUCCAGCUGAGGAGAGGCAGCCUUCCAGCCCCAUCUAUGAGGGUUCAGGGAUGGCAUCCUUGGAGUGAGGCAUCCUCCCCGCUGCCCUUCCUUACCUUUCUGCACCUCCCUGCAGUCAGACUGCCAGCUGAGGAGUGGGUCACUGUCUCCCUACAGCCCUGGAAGAGAACACCUAUGACGAGUAUGAGAACGACCUGGGCAUCACAGCCAUCGCACUCUAGGACUACCAGGCUGGUGAGGCGCCUGAGCAACUUCCUGCCCUUUGUUCCUGCCAACUCAGCCCCUAAGAAUCUGACUUUUCCAGUGAUGUUGCAGUUUCUAUUUUGA